rnacentral:lncRNA from 1 species
AUGCCAGCAUUUACAGCAAGAAAAUGCUUAAAUCUGUCACUCCAUGUCUGGCUAGUUUCUUAUUCCCUCCACCCCCUUCUCCUCUCUCUGUUCCCCUUUCCUGACACCCAGACAACUCUGGCCGUGCCCUCUCCUCCCGAUAUCUGCAGUUUUAGCAGUAUCACACAGCUCCAGGGAUGCUCAGCAAAGUGCCUUUUAAAGGGCCCCAAGUCAGAAACCUCAAACGCGGUCCUACUGAAGAGACAAACGCAGGCACUCCAAAACAGACCUCCUGAAAGCCAUCCAGGAAGCUAUGAAAUACACUUCUCAAUGAGUCUCCAGCCACAUUUCCUUAAUAUCGCUUAAAGGUACCUUAAAGGAGGCGUACAUUUGCCUGUUAGAAUACCCCUCCUAUUGAAACUCCUCAGCCCGUGUCAGGACUUCACUUCGGUGACAGUUCGGUGUGCUUCAUUAUCUCUCUUCUUUUCUGCUAGAAUCCACAGGAAGCACAGAGGGAGGAGAGCCGUGAAUAGCCUAAUUCAGACAGGGGCAGGAUGGGGCCAGACCAUGUCCCAGAAUCUGGGUCACAAAUUCCCCGUGCCAAAAAAAUCAAGGGAGUGCUGAAGUGUUCCAGCACCAAAUGAAGGGUUUGAGUCAUUGAGAGUCAGGCCCUGAUUUUUCUUUUGGUGCAUAACCUCUGGCCCAAAGCCCUAGACGGUAGCUUAAAUUAAGGGCAACCAAACAAGGGAGAAGGCUUGUCCUGCCUCAUGACCAGGACAUGCACGCUGAGGUGUGCUGUGUGAUUUUAGAAGUGAAGGUUUUGAAGGAGCCCUACCUAUGCAGUGGUAAAGUGAAGAGGGCAGGGUAGUAAACAGAUCCCAUAUUUAUCGUUUUGACCUUUUGAAAUAAUGCAUUUGGCCCUCAGAUGUUAAAGGUUGUACCACACUGUGUUAUUUAAAAUUCUCUGGAAGGCUGUUGUCAGUUUAGAUCACACAAGGUGAAAUCCUGGCCCUCUUGAAGUUGGAUGCAAUACUCCAGUGUUUCACCCAUGCUGGAGGGUUACACUUCUUUUUUUUUUUUUUUUUUUUUUUUUUUCCCCUGCUCAGCUUUGUGUGGUUUCUAGCAGCUGACACUAUUUACAAUACCGGACACAUCCAAACCAACCUUUACUCACACAGAAGCUUACAGCUUCCUCAGAGAAGCACACCAGGGUUCAGCUCACCCGGCACAGAUAGUCACGCUGUCAGACCGUUACAGCUAAGGACACUUUUGUUAAGGCCUCUUGAUUUAGAGUGUCUGCUAUGAGGACAGAUACAUCAAUCAAAAUUCAUGAAGUUGGAGAAACCUGAGCCAAGUUUCCAUUUAA